rnacentral:rRNA from 1 species
UUUCCAGCAGCCGCGGUAAUACGUAGGUGGCAAGCGUUGUCCGGAUUUAUUGGGUUUAAAGGGUGCGUAGGCGGCCCUGUAAGUCAGUGCUGAAAUAUCCCAGCUUAACUGGGAGGGUGGCAUUGAUACUGCGGGGCUAGAGUACAGAUGAGGUAGGCGGAAUUGACGGUGUAGCGGUGAAAUGCUUAGAUAUCGUCAAGAACACCUAUAGCGAAGGCAGCUUACUAGGCUGUAACUGACGCUGAGGCACGAAAGUGUGGGGAUCAAACAGGAUUAGAUACCCGGGUAGUCC